rnacentral:lncRNA from 1 species
GAAACGUUUGACUUUUUCACACUAUUUUCUUGUACAUUGAAAAGUUGUGUCUGUAUCUGGGGUCACAGUAUGAUAUAUGCAUGGUAUGGAAUGAUGAAAUCAAGAGAACGAACUUAUCUGACUCCUAAAAUACUGGUGGUUUCUGAUAUGAGCAUUUGAAAUAUUUCUCUAGCAAUUUUGAAACAUGUAGCACCCUGUCGUUGGUAGUAGUCCCCCAUCCAUUGCAGUGAUUUCAAACAUUCCUCCCAUCUAAUUGAAGAUUCAGCCUACUUUGAUUACUGUCUUUCCUUUCUCCUUAAUCUCCAUUCUCCAUACCCUGCAGGUACAGCAUUCAGCUCUGCUCCCAUGAAUAUGGCUGGCUUAGAGAAGAUUGAAAUUUUGUCCUUCUGUGUAGGCCUGGCUGUUUUCACUUCACACAAGUUUCUUGUAUGCUGUUGCAAAUGGAAGAGUUUCCUUCCUUUGGUGUGUGGCAGGCUCUUUAGCUACCCCAUGUUCACCUAUCCAGAGGAAUCUGAUGGAGUCCCAUAGAUUGGUGUGUGCACUUAUUCCUUUUGGGGUAAGGCCAAAGCAACUCCUUACAGUGACAAGGGAUCUAUAAGUUUCUGACUCUGUUUAUGUCUAGCAUUUUUACAUUGUUUGUCUUAUGUAACAAAGUGAAUUUGUUCAUGUUCAUUAUUGUAUGCUUUGGAUUGUAGUGCUAAGAUGGUCUUUCGAAAUUAAGAAAAAGUGAUUUUUCUGCCAUUAUGGAUUUCUUUAGUGGUUUGUGCUUAAAUCGAAGAACACAAAAUACCUGUUUUGUAUUAAAAUCCCCUGUGAGUUUCUAUUUAUAGUAGAACUCACAGUCAUACUUAACCCAUUGUCAAGAACAAAGGGUGUGGUCUACUUUCUGGUAAUCAGAUGUAUGUAAAGUAAGAAUCAGAAAGACAGACUAAUUGGCCAAGAAACCGUAUUAGGAGUCAGUAUUUAGAAAACCAUGUAGGGAGUUUUGUUUUCAGCCCUGCUAAAGAUCUCCCCACCAUAGAAGACAAAAUCGCUGUAAGGAGUCAAAAGCAGAUCAGAAGUAUUGCUGUGGCCAACCUUCAUUUAAAG